AAUCACAGCGCCUUCUUGAAAUCAAUCACGGUAUAUGAAUGUUGUAGAUUAAUUUAUUUAAUAUUACUCUCAAAUUUGUUAUCAGAACCAACUCGAUCAAACCCAAUCUAUAUACCAAUUCCAGACCUGAUACCACCAACCCACCCAGUCUCACCCAUUCGCUCCCUUCGGCGGUUUCUCUGAAAUCUCCAAACUACUCAUUUCUCUCCCCAAAGCCCCGCCCCCCUCUUCUUCGAAAUCGCAACCGUCUUCUGUCCGGCACCCACACAAGAACUCAUCACUGACGCAGAGCCCGCUGGAAGCUUUCUCUAGAGAACGAUAUGUCGGUCGCCGUCCCCAUGGCCUCGCCCAGUCGCCGGCUCGACUUGGAUGACCAGCCAUUCCUCAAUUCCAGGAUUUGUGCAAGAGAAAGGGAUAUGUUGAUAACUAGGAGGCAAGCAUGCCUUCUCCAAGCAUGACCAAGCAUAGAACGAGCAGUGUGAAAAUUUUUGGGGUCGAAUUGUGCCCUGACAAUGUGGCUGUUGCCAUGGUAUUUUGUUCAAGGUGUCCUAGGCCUUGCAGGGCUUGCUGUCGGUUUUUAACUUUCCAUUUAAAAGACGAUUUGCAUCUCGACCUGGCUGAGUACAUUUACAUUCACACUUGCUGUCGGUUUUUAACUUUCCAUUUAAAAAAUCUUUGUUUAUGCUAUUGGUUUGGUUAAUCUUGUAUAGUAUAUAUUUGCAGAAUUAUACGCAGUGGCUCUAUUUAGUAGGUUCAUAAUUUAAUCAUGUGUUUAUCUUUUCUCAAAGGACUCCUCUUAUUAUAAAGGAAUGCAUGAGUAGAAGGGUUUAGAGGCAGAAACUCUAUUUACUUUUCUUGAUUGAGAUCAAAUGUAUAUUUCCACCUAUACGAGUACAAUAUUUUUUUUUUUUUUCUUGUGAUCCAUAUGCUUAAGUCCAUGCAAAUAGAGAGAGGCAGCAAUUGCUGAGGCUCAAGUAUUAGGGGCAGUAGUUCACUCUCAAGGUCCUUUGUUUGGAGAUGUUCAAAGAAAUCUGAAGUCUUCAAGUGUUCUUGUUAUUGGAGGCCUAUUUGAUACCUUGUGGAUAGUUUGAUAUUUCUAGUACAACUCGUCGUUAGCUUUAGUGUGCAGUUUGUAAUAUUUGAUUUUGUGAUUUCUUUAUGUAAUUAUUGUAUUGUAGUAAAUUUGUUUAUAUAUUAAAUGAUUUAUUAUUAUUAUUA